AUGUCAGCGAUUUCAUUGAUAUUUCACAGCUUUUCCCUCAGUAGUUAGAAGAGAUCUGGCACAUAGUAGGUAUUCAAUAAAUAUUUAUUAAGACUAGGCAUGGUGGCUCACGCCUGUAAUCCUAGCACUUUGGAAGGCUGAGGUGGGAGGAUUGCAUGAGGUCAGUUCAGCGGUUCAAAACCAGCCUUGGCAACAUAGCAACCCCUUGUCUCUACAAAAAAAGAGAAAAGAAAUAAUAAAGUAAAAUAAAAUAAAUUGGCCCCUCAUAAAAAUUUGCUCUGAAAGAAGCAAACCUUUUCAAGGUCACCUGGAGUUAAAGGAGGGACAGUUUUUAGCCCGUUUUCUUCUUGGGACUUUACUGGAAUUGAAUGGUAUUGUAGGUUAAGUGGAAGUCUUCAUUGGCUGAUUCGUCAUGAAAAUUAGAUCCCAGAGGAGUGAUGAUUGAUAUUAGUCACUAGGGAGAGAUAAUCCGGCCAAUGGAAAUGACAGUGAUGACAUCACAAAUGACUCUGUUUGCCUAAUGCCACUGGAAACAGCAGGAAGGAGACUUGAAGCAAAGCCAUCAAUUUCCACAGAAAGGGGAAACCCACACCCAAAUGGUAGGGAGGGCCCAGGAGCCAGAAUUCAAGUGAAUAGUUUCCUGAGUGGUCAGCAGCGUCAGGUGAUUUGGGGAACAGAUAAGCCCCUGGUACUUGGUAGCACUGCAUUCUGCUCUUAUACAACAGUAUCUUACUGGCUCAGCAUGGAUUGGUGUGUACCCCUGUAG
rnacentral:lncRNA from 1 species